rnacentral:lncRNA from 1 species
AUGUGUGUUAGUCAUGUGACACCAACUGACAGAUUCAGACUAUGCAGGUCUGUGGGGCAGUAUAUUGUGAUUCUUGUUUGAAGGCAGAAAAAAUGAAGAGGGCACAGAUCAACCUUUUAUAAUGAAUAUUACAUUCUGAAGUUCUCCAUCUGCUCUCAGGCCACAGCUGUGUGUUUGGGAAGACGCAGAAUAAGAAAGUCAGAAGUGCACCACCUCACAUACCUACACCUACUUCUCUCAGUGCACAGUGAUUCCAGUUUGCUUGAUCAAACACACGAAUAAGAAACCUGGUUAGCAUGUUCAACUUGACACCACCUUAAUAAAUAC